rnacentral:rRNA from 1 species
GUAGGUGGCAAGCGUUGUCCGGAAUUAUUGGGCGUAAAGCGCGCGCAGGCGGUUCUUUAAGUCUGAUGUGAAAGCCCACGGCUCAACCGUGGAGGGUCAUUGGAAACUGGAGAACUUGAGUACAGAAGAGGAAAGCGGAAUUCCACGUGUAGCGGUGAAAUGCGUAGAGAUGUGGAGGAACACCAGUGGCGAAGGCGGCUUUCUGGUCUGUAACUGACGCUGAGGCGCGAAAGCAUGGGGAGCAAACAGGAUUAGAUACCCUGGUAGUCCACGCCGUAAACGAUGAGUGCUAAGUGUUAGGGGGGUUUCCGCCCCCCUUAGUGCUGCAGCUAACGCAUUAAGCACUCCGCCCUGGGAGUACGGCCGCAAGGCUG